GUGAAGUUACUGGGCUCACGUUCACCACAAGUCAACGUCCGUACAGAGAGGGUUAGCACGUCCCUGCACAAAGGUGACACGCAAAUUCGUGAAGUGAUCCAUAGUUUU
rnacentral:snRNA from 1 species